rnacentral:rRNA from 1 species
GAUUUCUGGUUCGGCGCACUUGGCCCGUCUCGGUUUACGGGAUUGUGUGCCGGUGUGCGCCAUCCAUCCUUCGAGAGAACGCUCCUACCCUUUACUGGGUCGGCGGGCGACCUUUCUCGAUCUUUUACUUUGAAAAAAUUAGAGUGUUUAAAGCAGGCUUGCGCUAUGAAUACAUUAGCAUGGAAUAAUAAUUUAGGACUUCGGUUCUAUUUUGUUGGUUUCUAGGACUGAAGUAAUGAUUGAUAGGGAUAGUUGGGGGUGCUAGUAUUCAGCGGCCAGAGGUGAAAUUCUCGGAUUCGCUGAAGACUAACUUAUGCGAAAGCAUU